rnacentral:tRNA from 3 species
UCCCCGAUAGUUCAGCCGGUAGAACGGUGGACUGUUAAUCCAUAUGUCGCAGGUUCGAAUCCUGCUCGGGGAGCCA